CCAAAGUGGAAGUCUUCUCUGCUGGGAUGAUCCUGCCUGAAUAAACUUUCUGGAUGGCCAAGAAGAAAAGAGAAUUCAGCUUGAAUACAGAUGAUGACUGCUUCAUGAGACCUAAGGAAGGGAUUCCUAAGUCGAUAAAGCUGUUAUUUAUUUAUUUAUUUUGGAAAUGCACACAAGGGGGCUUUUUUUCUUUUUUUAUCCCAUGCUAAGCUAUGUGAUUGAAGGCAGGAGAAAUUGUGAAGUUCCACAGACUUGAUGAAGAAAAUUUCAAAGACAUGAAAGGUUGUUGUGAUGGAUUGUUGCUGAUCAAGAAAGCGCCAACGUCAAAAGCUGCAGAACGGGUUUCAGCAUUAAAAGAAAAUCCUGGAGGAGAAUCGUUGGUUGCUUGAAGGGUGAUUUUGGAGAAAUGUGAUGGUUGCUGACUUGAAUUGAAAAACGAUUUAGAUCAUUCA